GUAACGCGUGGUAAUGUGUUCUGUUCGUAAUAGAAAAGCCAUAUUAUAAAACUAUUAGUACAUGGUAACGCAUGUGGCAAUGCGUGGUAACACGUUGCUUUAGUAUUUAUAUUUCAAAAGCCAUAUUAAACAUUAGUUUAUGGUAACUUGAAUAAAUUAAAACUUUGACCCCACCAAGUAAUCAAAAAUUAAUUAAAAAAUGCUUAUAGUUUCAUCAACAUUCAAUUAUCCAUUAAUUAACUUGAGUAACUAAAGUAUUAUUAAUCCAUGUGAAGUUAUAGGACUUUCUCUAAGAACUAUGCACGGUUAAUUCUCUAAUUUAACGGACCGAUCCAAGGAUGUACUCGACAGCCCUCCCCCCCCCCACCCCACCCCAUCCGGCUCAGAAGAAGACUUGAUAUGGUACCAUUAUACAACGUAGAUAUCUUUGUAUGGGCCUAACAAUACUAUCCAAAUUAUACUGAAUAGUAAGACGCUUCUAUUACUUCACAAAAAUUUCUUAAAUACUUAAUCCUUGCCCCGACACCUCUGGGAAUUAAAUUCUCCUCCCCCCCUCCCUCCCCCCGCCCACAGCUAUUGUGCCGCACAUAACAUGAUUUCAAAUAACUUCGAGCUGCUGCCAUCUAAGUUUUCUUAAUUCCUAAUAUAAUCGUCUACCAAACAUAUAGUGAUAUUUUUUUAAUCUCUCCCCCCAUUUCCUUUAUAUCUCCACCCCCCCCUGGUCAACUUGGCAGUACUGUACUAUUCUACAUGUGAACAAUAACCCGAAUAGUAUCAUGUACAGAGACUACUACACAAGCA